GAUGAACGCUGGCGGCGUGCCUAAUACAUGCAAGUCGAGCGAACAGAUGAGGAGCUUGCUCCUCUGACGUUAGCGGCGGACGGGUGAGUAACACGUGGAUAACCUACCUAUAAGACUGGGAUAACUUCGGGAAACCGGAGCUAAUACCGGAUAAUAUAUUGAACCGCAUGGUUCAAUAGUGAAAGACGGUUUUGCUGUCACUUAUAGAUGGAUCCGCGCCGCAUUAGCUAGUUGGUAAGGUAACGGCUUACCAAGGCAACGAUGCGUAGCCGACCUGAGAGGGGGAUCGGCCACACUGGAACUGAGACACGGUCCAGACCCCUACGGGAGGCAGCAGUAGGGAAUCUUCCGCAAUGGGCGAAAGCCUGACGGAGCAACGCCGCGUGAGUGAUGAAGGUCUUCGGAUCGUAAAACUCUGUUAUUAGGGAAGAACAAAUGUGUAAGUAACUAUGCACGUCUUGACGGUACCUAAGCAGAAAGCCACGGCUAACUACGU
rnacentral:rRNA from 1 species